GUGCCAGCAGCCGCGGUAACACGGAGAGUGCGAGCGUUGUUCGGAAUCACUGGGCUUAAAGCGCGUGUAGGCGGGAUGUCAGGUGCCGGGUGAAAUCCCCGGGCUCAACCCGGGAACUGUUCGGCAAACCGGCAUUCUUGAGGCAGGCAGAGGUGACUGGAACGACUGGUGGAGCGGUGAAAUGCGUAGAUAUCAGUUGGAACGCCGGAGGCGAAAGCGGGUCGCUGGGCCUGUCCUGACGCUGAGACGCGAAAGCGUGGGGAGCGAAGAGGAUUAGAAACCCCAGUAGUCC
rnacentral:rRNA from 1 species